UGUAUCUCUGCUGUUUCUAGGUCUGGUUGUACUCUGGGCUGUAUUCCACCUCUGUAAUGAUCCUGAAAACUUCCUUCACUCCUGAACUUCAUUUGAUUUCACUGAGAAGUUGCAAGCAGUGAGAUAAUACUGAAUGAAUCAAUGAAAUUGGGAUUAGAUGGGAAAUCAGAUGGAUCCUCACAAGCACUUGCUCUGUGUAUGGUAUCUUUUAUAGCCUUACAUAUUGCAGCUUCAAGGGAGCUGCUCCUCAUCUAAGCAAACACAGCCAGGUUCUCUAGUCUUGCAGGAUGGAGGAGUAUCUGUCUUCUGUUUAUAAUGACUGCUUUCUUACCUGAUUUUUUAUUUUUAUUUUUUUCUUUUUGCAGCGUUUUUGUUCCCAUGUAUUUUGGGCUGGUGGGAAGUCUCCUAAAUACCAUGAUAUCGAUAGUUUGGAUCCCUUCUCCAGCUAAGCCAAAGUCAGAACAUCGUAAGACAGAACAAAGUAGUGUAUUCAACAUCAGAGAAAUCCUACGUGUGAUGAAGUUUCCAGGAGUAAUGGAAAUCUUCUUAGUCAAGGUCCUCUCUGGAUUUCCCAUAGGUAAAUCUCACCCUUUACCAUGGUUGCUGAUUUAUUUCUAAUAGGAAGACAUACACUGGAGACCGGGCUGGUCUGAAGUUAUUGAAACCACACUGUGUGUAAUCAUGGAGGAGUGGGGUUUUGGCUCAUACCUCAACACUCUUCCAGAUGGUCUCAGCUACACGGAGUUAAAAGCCUGGAAUUAAUGUAAAACAGACCACUAGUCACAGGCCUCUUUUGCGACUCUUGGCAUAUCACUUAAUUGCUCUGCCUGGUCCCAUGGCUGUAAAAGGAUAGUUCUCUGUCAUUUCUCUUUAGGCUGGAACCUCUUCAGAGCAGAGGCAAGUUGUCUGUACCCUGUCAAAAACACUGAUGUCCCUCUUGAUUUUUGGUUAAUGAUUUUAAGGGGAGGGAAGGAUGCAUAGCCUAACUUUUUCCCAAAAAUUUAAAGCUAUAGCUGAAUGAGAUGUGGCCAGAUGGGUUGUUAAUUGCUGCUGUGCACAAGGGAGCCACUUUUGGUUUUAUUUCUUCCUUUGCUUGUUUGUGGUAGUGCUUGUUCUUCUCUUUGAAUAUUCUGCUGAUUUUUCUCAUGCCAGGGUCAUAAUGCACUGCUUCAAACACACCUCAAAUCCACCUGUCCCCCUGCUCCUGGUGAAUCAUUCACAGUCUUGUCAUGUUCUGUUGUGUAGCACCAACCCAGUGUUCCAUUGGGUAGGUGGGACAGAUGCCCUAGAUGAUCACAGAAAUCUUUUCCAACCUUAAUGACUCUAAGAUUCUGUGAGUCUCUCCAGUACAGCUGGAUUGCCUGCUCAACAAAGCAUGUCAUUGCCUUGCAGUAGAUAGGGGAAAGAAAGCCAAACAUGAGGGCAGAAAUGUCAAACACACCCCUUGGUGCUUGGAGAUCAUGAGGGCUUUGAAAAUACUUGUAAUAGCUCCUUGUGGGAAUCUUUGGGUUUGGAAAAACCUGCUCCAUUCUCACAGUGGCUACCUCUGCACACCACCCCCACCCUGCUACCGAAUAUGCCACAUACACCCUCCCAAAGCCACUGGCUGCUGUCUCUU
ensembl:lncRNA